AAUUUGAAAUCUGGCUCCUUUCGGGGUCCGAGUUGUAAUUUGUAGAGAGUGCUUCGGGGGAGACCGCGGUCUAAGUCCAUUGGAACAUGGCGUCAUAGAGGGUGAGAAUCCCGUAUGUGACCGUGGCUUGAACCCAUGUGAAGCCUCUUCGACGAGUCGAGUUGUUUGGGAAUGCAGCUCAAAAUGGGUGGUAAAUUUCAUCUAAAGCUAAAUACUGGCUGGAGACCGAUAGCGCACAAGUAGAGUGAUCGAAAGAUGAAAAGCACUUUGGAAAGAGAGUUAAAAAGUACGUGAAAUUGUUGAAAGGGAAGCGCUUGCAACCAGACCUGCCCGUAGGCGAUCAGCCGCUGUUUUCAGCGGUGCACUCGCUCUGCGAUCAGGCCAGCAUCGGUUCUGGCGGCCGGAUAAAGGCCCCGGGAAUGUAGCUUCCCUUCGGGGGAGUCUUAUAGCCCGGGGUGCAAUGCGGCCAGCCGGGACCGAGGACCGCGCUUCGGCUAGGAUGCUGGCGUAAUGGUUGUAAGCGACCC
rnacentral:rRNA from 1 species